GAUGAACGCUGGCGGCGUGCCUAAUACAUGCAAGUCGAGCGAACAGACGAGGAGCUUGCUCCUCUGACGUUAGCGGCGGACGGGUGAGUAACACGUGGAUAACCUACCUAUAAGACUGGGAUAACUUCGGGAAACCGGAUCUAAUACCGGAUAAUAUAUUGAACCGCAUGGUUCAAUAGUGAAAGACGGUUUUGCUGUCACUUAUAGAUGGAUCCGCGCCGCAUUAGCUAGUUGGUAAGGUAACGGCUUACCAAGGCGACGAUGCGUAGCCGACCUGAGAGGGUGAUCGGCCACACUGGAACUGAGACACGGUCCAGACUCCUACGGGAGGCAGCAGUAGGGAAUCUUCCGCAAUGGGCGAAAGCCUGACGGAGCAACGCCGCGUGGGUGAUGAAGGUCUUCGGAUCGUAAAGCUCUGUUAUUAGGGAAGAACAAAUGUGUAAGUAACUAUGCACGUCUUGACGGUACCUAAUCAGAAAGCCACGGCUAACUACGUG
rnacentral:rRNA from 1 species